UACGAAGGGGGCUAGCGUUGUUCGGAAUUACUGGGCGUAAAGCGUGCGCAGGCGGCUUCUCAAGUUAGAGGUGAAAGCCCGGGGCUCAACUCCGGAAUUGCCUUUAAGACUGCAUCGCUUGAAUCCGGGAGAGGUGAGUGGAAUUCCGAGUGUAGAGGUGAAAUUCGUAGAUAUUCGGAAGAACACCAGUGGCGAAGGCGGCUCACUGGACCGGUAUUGACGCUGAGGUGCGAAAGCGUGGGGAGCAAACAGG
rnacentral:rRNA from 1 species